rnacentral:snRNA from 1 species
AUACCUUUCUCGGCCUUUUGGCUAAGAUCAAGUGUAGUAUCUGUUCUUAUCAGUUUAAUAUCUGAUACGUGGGCCACUGGCUCACAUGAUAUUAAAUUUAUUUUUGAAGGGAGAGAGUCCAUCGCAGUAGCUUGCUAUUGGGGCUUUCGGGCGUCGCUCAGGCGUUGCACUAUAGCUCGGGCCUGGCGCACUCCAC